GAAAUGCGAUAAGUAGUGUGAAUUGCAGAAUUCAGUGAAUCAUCGAAUCUUUGAACGCACAUUGCGCCCCUUGGUAUUCCAUGGGGCAUGCCUGUUCGAGCGUCAUUUGUACCCUCAAGCUCUGCUUGGUGUUGGGUGUUUGUCCCGUCUCAGCGCGUGGACUCGCCCCAAAGUGAUUGGCAGCCGGCGUACUGGUCCCGGAGCGCAGCACAUGUCGCGCAAACGAGUGCCUUGGUACGGCGGCGUCCAUAAGCCCCUCUCUCACGCUCUUGACCUCGGAUCAGGUAGGGAUACCCGCUGAACUUAAGC
rnacentral:misc_RNA from 1 species